rnacentral:rRNA from 1 species
GAUGAACGCUAGCGGCAGGCCUAACACAUGCAAGUCGAGGGGCAUCAUGGCGUAGCAAUACGCUGAUGGCGACCGGCGCACGGGUGCGUAACGCGUAUGGAACCUACCCACCGCAGGGGGAUAACCCGCCGAAAGGCGGACUAAUACCCCAUGGUUCCCCGACCCUGCCUGGGGUUGGGGGUAAAGCCUACGGGCGGCGGUGGAUGGCCCUGCGUGCCAUUAGCUGGCUGGUGGGGUAACGGCCCACCAGGGCGACGAUGGCUAGGGGGUCUGAGAGGACGAUCCCCCACACUGGUACUGAGACACGGACCAGACUCCUACGGGAGGCAGCAGUGAGGAAUAUUGGUCAAUGGGCGAAAGCCUGAUCCAGCCAUGCCGCGUGCAGGAUGAAGGCCUUCGGGUUGUAAACUGCUUUUGUACGGAACGAAAGACUCUGGUUAAUACCUGGGGUUCAUGACGGUACCGUAAGAAUAAGCACCGGCUAACUACGUGCCAGCAGCCGCGGUAAAAGUGU